rnacentral:rRNA from 1 species
GACGAACGCUGGCGGCGUGCCUAAUACAUGCAAGUAGAACGCACAGUUUAUACCGUAGCUUGCUACACCAUAAACUGUGAGUUGCGAACGGGUGAGUAACGCGUAGGUAACCUGCCUGGUAGCGGGGGAUAACUAUUGGAAACGAUAGCUAAUACCGCAUAAUAUUGAUUAUUGCAUGAUAAUUGAUUGAAAGAUGCUAUUGCAUCACUACCAGAUGGACCUGCGUUGUAUUAGCUAGUAGGUGAGGUAACGGCUCACCUAGGCGACGAUACAUAGCCGACCUGAGAGGGGGAUCGGCCACACUGGGACUGAGACACGGCCCAGACUCCUACGGGAGGCAGCAGUAGGGAAUCUUCGGCAAUGGACGAAAGUCUGACCGAGCAACGCCGCGUGAGUGAAGAAGGGUUUCGGAUCGUAAAGCUCUGUUGUAAGAGAAGAACGGGUGUGAGAGUGGAAAGUUCACACUGUGACGGUAUCUUACCAGAAAGGGACGGCUAACUACGUG